rnacentral:misc_RNA from 1 species
AAGUCGUAACAAGGUUUCCGUAGGUGAACCUGCGGAAGGAUCAUUAACACGUAUCCAAACGUAAAAAACCCCCCCCGUGAACAUUCAAUCCUGCUCUUGUAACCCGCGUAGUUCGCAAUCUCUGGUAAAUCAUAGGCCGGAAAGUAUUUUUGAUUCAGAGACCUCUGGCUACGUGAGAACAUUGGAACAGUUACAAUCGCAAAGGGUCCCCAUGCCCCCUUAUAACCCCACAGUUUAAUGUGAAGCUCAAUGUAAUACAUUGGGUAAAAAAACCGAACAACUGUUAACAAUGGAUAUCUUGGUUCUC